UACAGAGGGUGCGAGCGUUAAUCGGAAUUACUGGGCGUAAAGCGCACGUAGGCGGACUAUUAAGUCAGGGGUGAAAUCCCGGGGCUCAACCCCGGAACUGCCUUUGAUACUGAUAGUCUCGAGUCCGGAAGAGGUGAGUGGAAUUCCGAGUGUAGGAGGUGAAAUUCGUAGAUAUUCGGAGGAACACCAGUGGCGAAGGCGGCUCACUGGUCCGGUACUGACGCUGAGGUGCGAAAGCGUGGGGAGCAAACAGG
rnacentral:rRNA from 1 species